GUAGUAGGAGUUGCAGUAGUGGUAGUAGUAGUAGUAGUAGUAGUAGUAGUAAAUAGUAUUUUGAAGAGAUAAUAAUAAUAAUACAAGUAAUAUUAGGAUCAAUAAUAAUAGAUUUAUUAUUAUUAUCGUUAUUAUUUUGUUGUUAUUAUCAUUAUUAUUGUUAUUGUUAUUUACGCCUAAAACACUGAUAGUACAACAACAUUUACAGCCCGGUGUUAUUUUAUUUCCCUGCUAUCUCAUCAUCAUUACUUGAAUUAUUUGUUAUAGUUAUCAUUAUUAUCGAUACUAUAGGUACCAUUAUGAUUAUUACCACUAUUAUUUUCAUUGUUAGUAAUACUGUUGUCACACGGGGGGGGGGGGUCGGACCAGGCAUCAUAUAAGUAUUACCAACAAGCUCGACAGCCUGACAUGAUCACGCGACUUGUUUUUCUUCUAAAGACAGUAAUUUAUAUUUAUAUGAAUAUGAAAUUAAAUACUGACUGAGGAGGAACUAUUUCAUUACAUCACCGCUUCUGUAAAAUCCCACACCUCACGAGGCAGACAUCCAGGCGUGGGCAGCGCUGAGGGCCGCUUCCACAGUCGUUUUGUUUGUUUUGAUGGUUACUAAUGGCGGGGAUCGACGCUAUAGUUUUCCACGUGAAACUGGCCUUUGGGGUGGUGGCGGCUGCAGAGGAAGCGAGAGGUGUUGAGAAUGUGUGGCAAGGUGCAGGACGAGACUAACCCAGUUUUACGUGGAAAUACUAUAUAGCGGCGAUAACAGCCAUUGGUAACGAUCAAAACAAACAAAACGACUGUGAAAACGGCCCUUAGUAACAAGCCUUCUGCCGUGGCUGGGCGAUAAUUUUAUAUGAAGCAAGUUUGGGGGUGGAGGAGACGGUUUUGAGGUCGGAAAUCGGCAAACAGAUGAGGCUGAGUACGACAAUCUGGCAACGUUGGCCUACGUAUAGCAAACAGUCGUCAGUGUCGAUAAUAUGCAGGCAGCAAUAACAUAUACCGCUAAUUAUAGUUGAUUAUGAGUUAAAAAUGUUAGUAAUGUCGGAAAUAGCUGUUUUGUUAAUUUACAAGAUCGCUGAGUAUGAUUAUUAAACCGCCUUGAAGCUGUCCACCACCGAGAAAAAUUAGCAGGCCUUAUAUUAACAAAACAGCUAUUUGUGACAUUACUAAUAUUUCUUAACUCACAAUCGACUAUAAUUGGCGGUAUUUGUUAUGGCUGCCUGCAUAUUAUCGACACCGACGACCGUUUGCUAUGCGUACGCUAAUGUUGCCAGAUUGUCGUACUCAGCCUCUUAUAAUAUUAUUACCAACUUCCGACCCAAAAACUGUCUCCUGGCCCCAAUAACGAGACUCAUUCAUAAUUAUCGUUAAAAUAGUUAAUUCCUAAUGUUUCUUGGCAAUAGUUAGGCGUCAGAAACCGGUAAAUACUAUGCUCUGAGUACGACAAUCUGGCAACGUUGAUGCCCAUGCCGAGAAUCACUGGCCGCCCUAAGACCUUAGACCCCAAAAUUGUCUUCAUGUAAAAUCAUCAAUAAAAUGUUUAAUAAUUGGUGUUUAUUGGCAACAUUUAUGGGCCAGAAACCAGUAAAUGCUAUGCUCUGAGUACGAUAAUCUGGCAACGGUGGGGCGUAGCUUACAGUAUCCAUGAAAUUGGACACGCCGCGUGGCUUCAUGUUGCCGUUGCGCGAUAAUGCCUACCUCAGACUUGGCUGAACCGACGGGAAUCAAUGUAAAAACGUCGAAAGAAAACGACAACAGUAUCAAGCCACCACGACCUCAGAACGACUGGACGAUGAUUAGACUACAGGAGUCUUCUAAAACUUGACACGACGAGAACGACUUUGAAAACACGAGACUAUGAAGCGAAAACAACAAAAACAUCAUCCACGACCUCACAACGACACAUCCUCUGCCUUAGAAACAAGUAAACAAGACAUUAGUUAGGUUAUAGAAGCUUUCCAAGGCUUAACACGACGGGAACGACUUUGAACCAGGAAACUAAGAAACGAAAACAACAAAAAUAUCCUCCACGACUUCUCAACGACACAUCUUCAGCCUCAGACGAUAGUUAAGUUAGGUUUGGUUAGGUUAGAGAAAUUUCCGAGGGCUUAACACGACCAGAACGACAAUGAAACACGAAACUAAGAGGAGAAUAUAUCAAUAGCAACCUAAACGACCUCUCAACGACACAUCUUCGGCCUCAGAGACAAUAGUUAAGUUAGGUUUGAUUAGGUUAGAGAAAUUUCCGAGGGGUUAACACGACCAGAACGACAGUGAAACACGAAACUAAGAGGAGAAUAUAUCAAUAGCAACCUAAACGACCUCUCAACGACACAUCUUCGGCCUCAGAGACAAUAGUUAAGUUAGGUUUGGUUAGGUUAGAAAAGCUUGCGAACUUUUAACACAACGAGAACGACAAUGAAACAAGAAUCUAAGAAGAGAACAACGACAUAAACAACCACCUCCACGACUUCUCAACGACACAUCUUCAGCCUCAGACGAUAGUUAAGUUAGGUUUGAUUAGGUUAGAGAAAUUUCCAAGGGGUUAACACGACGAAAACGACAAUGAAACACAAAACUAAGAUGAGAAUAUAACAACAGCAACCUAAA